CAGGGAAUCUUCGGCAAUGGACGAAAGUCUGACCGAGCAACGCCGCGUGAGUGAAGAAGGUUUCCGGAUCGUAAAACUCUGUUGUUAGAGAAGAACAAGGACGUUAGUAACUGAACGUCCCCUGACGGUAUCUAACCAGAAAGCCACGGCUAACUACGUGCCAGCAGCCGCGGUAAUACGUAGGUGGCAAGCGUUGUCCGGAUUUAUUGGGCGUAAAGCGAGCGCAGGCGGUUUCUUAAGUCUGAUGUGAAAGCCCCCGGCUCAACCGGGGAGGGUCAUUGGAAACUGGGAGACUUGAGUGCAGAAGAGGGGAGUGGAAUUCCAUGUGUAGCGGUGAAAUGCGUAGAUAUAUGGAGGAACACCAGUGGCGAAGGCGGCUCUCUGGUCUGUAACUGACGCUGAGGCUCGAAAGCGUGGGGAGCAAACAGG
rnacentral:rRNA from 1 species